UGGUUUUUCUUCAGAUGUAUAAAUCUUUUGCCUUUUAAUAAAGAUUUCCGUGGAGAGGAGCAAAAGA
rnacentral:snRNA from 1 species